UUUUUUUUUUGGUUCAUAAGUGUGAUGAUUGGGUAUUCACACAUUGUGGGACAUGUCCCUCCCACGGACAUUGUUACAAUAUUAGCAAUUGCAUAUGAGAAA